rnacentral:rRNA from 1 species
UACGUAGGGGGCAAGCGUUGUCCGGAAUCAUUGGGCGUAAAGAGCGUGUAGGCGGCCUGGUAAGUCCGCUGUGAAAGUCCAGGGCUCAACCCUGGAAUGCCGGUGGAAACUGUCAGGCUCGAGUCCGGAAGAGGCGAGUGGAAUUCCUGGUGUAGCGGUGAAAUGCGCAGAUAUCAGGAGGAACACCGGUGGUGAAAACGAGUCUCUGGUCCGCUUCUGACGCUCAGGUGCGAAAGCUAGGGGAGCAAACGGG